UACAGUUUGUGGUGAAGACGGUCAUCAUUAUGGUUCCAGCCAUUAGGAGAAGGCACAGGGCCCCAAGCACACUCGAGAUGAGCCUCCACCGAGAAGGAGAAAGAAGUGAAGAUCCACAUACUAUAAGUAAACACUCUAUGGAAUGAGAUUUUGCUGUCUUUUCACUUGGGGGACAGAUUUUCAGAAUCACUAAACCUUCUACUAAUGAGAAGCCCAGAGAGACAACAAACAGAGUGGAAAGGAAUCUGAGGAACUGCGACCCCAACACUGCCACCAAUGGGCAGUAUGCUGUAGGAUGGGAGAGUAAGAAAGACUCUGGCCAUGAUCCCCCCUGCACCACAGUCUGGUGGAAAGUCUUACAUCAUCCAACUACUCUUGUCCUGACUCUCUUUUCAUAUCCCUAAGAAGUCCCGUUUGUUCAGUGGCCUGGGAAAUGGCUCAGUCCUCCUUGCUGUUCAGUUUGAAGAGCCUGACUCACAGUCUUGGGGCCUCUACUACUUAUGUGCAACUGGGAUGUCUGGAUUCUGGACUUAAGACUGCAAUAAAGAAUUUCAAGAUGAGUCAAAGUGACACAAACUUGGCCUGGUUGUUGAUCAGGAGAAAGGGUAUAUAUAAUUUAAAUUGCAUCA